GACGAACCGUGCGAACGUUAUUCGGAAUCACUGGGCUUAAAGCGCGUGUAGGCGGGCCGCCACGUCGGCUGCUGAAAUCCCCCGGCUUAACCGGGGAACGGGCGUCGAUACGACCGUCCUGGAGGGGCGUAGGGGGACCUGGAACUUCCGGUGGAGCGGUGAAAUGCGUUGAGAUCGGAAGGAACGCCCGUGGCGAAAGCGAGGUCCUGGACGCCUACUGACGCUGAGACGCGAAAGCCAGGGGAGCGAACGGG
rnacentral:rRNA from 1 species